rnacentral:rRNA from 1 species
CCUACGGGAGACAGCAGUGAGGAAUAUUGGUCAAUGGCCGCAGGGCUGAACCAGCCAAGUCGCGUGAGGGAUGACGGUCCUAUGGAUUGUAAAACUCUUUUGUCAGGGAGCAAAGGGCGCCACGUGUGGCGCUAUGCGAGUACCUGAAGAAAAAGCAUCGGCUAAAUCCGUGCCAGCAGCCGCGGUAAUACGGGGGAUGCGAGCGUUCUCCGGAUUUAUUGGGUGUAAAGGGUGCGCAGGCGGAAGGUCACGUCAGUGGUAAAAUUUCGGGGCUCAACCCCGUCGUGCCGUUGAAACUGGCGUUCUUGAGUGGGCGAGAAGUAUGCGGAAUGCGUGGUGUAGCGGUGAAAUGCAUAGAUAUCACGCAGAACUCCGAUUGCGAAGGCAGCAUACCGGCGCUCAACUGACGCUCAUGCACGAAAGCGUGGGUAUCGAACAGGAUUAGAUACCCUGGUAGUC